rnacentral:rRNA from 1 species
CAGUCGCCGCGGGAAUACGUAGGUGGCAAGCGUUGUCCGGAAUUAUUGGGCGUAAAGGGCUCGCAGGCGGUUUCUUAAGUCUGAUGUGAAAGCCCCCGGCUCAACCGGGGAGGGUCAUUGGGAACUGGGAAACUUGAGUGCAGAAGAGGAGAGAGGAAUUCCACGUGUAGCGGUGAAAUGCGUAGAGAUGUGGAGGAACACCAGUGGCGAAGGCGACUCUCUGGUCUGUAACUGACGCUGAGGAGCGAAAGCGUGGGGAGCGAACAGGAUUAGAUACCCCAGUAGUCCCUGUCUCUUAUAA